GAUUGUUCGGUGAUUAAUCAAUUCCGCGUUUCCAUUUUUUUUUGUUUUAAAUCACGAACCUAGACUCUUUAUUUCACUCAUACAAUAAUUCAUUGCUUCUUUCCAUACUUUGCGAGACAUGAGAAACUCUAUAUAAACGACUUCCGCACAACCAUCUCGACACCCUCACCACACCUUUCGAACAUCGCUACACAUUCGCCGGAGAACCGAAGUCACCGGAGGGAACCAUAGCCUUGCCAGAGAUCGGAGGCGAUGUCGGAGACGACCGAAGCCACGGCGAGAAUCACACAUUGUCGUUCGGAUAAUCGCUUAUGUUCGUUCUCUUGGAAUUCUCCAUCCUUACUCGUGCGUUAUUUCAAGGAAUUCUUAUACGCAACCAUUGUGGAUGUUGACGAUGCAUGGAAUCUAGUAGGAUGCUUAGAUACACA